UACGUAGGGGGCAAGCGUUGUCCGGAUUUAUUGGGCGUAAAGAGCGUGUAGGCGGCCAGACAGGUCCGUUGUGAAAACUCGAGGCUCAACCUCGAGACGUCGACGGAAACCGUCUGGCUAGAGUCCGGAAGAGGAGUGUGGAAUUCCUGGUGUAGCGGUGAAAUGCGCAGAUAUCAGGAAGAACACCAAUGGCGAAGGCAGCUCUCUGGGACGGUACUGACACUGAGACGCGAAAGCGUGGGGAGCGAACAGG
rnacentral:rRNA from 1 species